rnacentral:rRNA from 1 species
UACAGAGGGGGCAAGCGUUGUUCGGAAUUACUGGGCGUAAAGGGCGCGUAGGCGGCCUCUUAAGUCGGAACGUGAAAUCCCCGGGCUCAACCCGGGAACUGCGUCCGAUACUGGGGGGCUUGAAUCCGGGAGAGGGAUGUGGAAUUCCAGGUGUAGCGGUGAAAUGCGUAGAUAUCGGAGGAACACCGGUGGCGAAGGCGGCAUCCUGGACCGGAUUGACGCU